GGCGGCGGCGUAUCUUAGUGUUGUGCUAUACAUGCAGUCGAGCGGACAGAUGGGAGCUUGCUCCCUGAUGUUAGCGGCGGACGGGUGAGUAACACGUGGGUAACCUGCCUGUAAGACUGGGAUAACUCCGGGAAACCGGGGCUAAUACCGGAUGCUUGAUUGAACCGCAUGGUUCAAUUAUAAAAGGUGGCUUUUAGCUACCACUUACAGAUGGACCCGCGGCGCAUUAGCUAGUUGGUGAGGUAACGGCUCACCAAGGCGACGAUGCGUAGCCGACCUGAGAGGGUGAUCGGCCACACUGGGACUGAGACACGGCCCAGACUCCUACGGGAGGCAGCAGUAGGGAAUCUUCCGCAAUGGACGAAAGUCUGACGGAGCAACGCCGCGUGAGUGAUGAAGGUUUUCGGAUCGUAAAACUCUGUUGUUAGGGAAGAACAAGUACCGUUCGAAUAGGGCGGUACCUUGACGGUACCUAACCAGAAAGCCACGGCUAACUACGUGCCAGCAGCCGCGGUAAUACGUAGGUGGCAAGCGUUGUCCGGAAUUAUUGGGCGUAAAGCGCGCGCAGGCGGUUUCUUAAGUCUGAUGUGAAAGCCCCCGGCUCAACCGGGGAGGGUCAUUGGAAACUGGGGAACUUGAGUGCAGAAGAGGAGAGUGGAAUUCCACGUGUAGCGGUGAAAUGCGUAGAGAUGUGGAGGAACACCAGUGGCGAAGGCGACUCUCUGGUCUGUAACUGACGCUGAGGCGCGAAAGCGUGGGGAGCGAACAGGAUUAGAUACCCUGGUAGUCCACGCCGUAAACGAUGAGUGCUCAGUGUUAGAGGGUUUCCGCCCUCUAGUGCUGCAGCAAACGCAUUAUGCACUUCGCCUGGGGAGUACGGUCGCAGACUGAAACUCAACGG
rnacentral:rRNA from 1 species